rfam:Cavia porcellus supercont2_23 genomic scaffold, whole genome shotgun sequence.
GGGGAUUUAGCUCAGCGGCAUAAGCGCCUGCCUUGUAAGCAGGGAGUCGUGAGUUCGAUCUCCAGUACCGA